AGCUCCAUUUCAGCAGCAGAUAGACUACUAAAAGCCCCUGGUGAAUUUGGGAUAUCUAUGUUAGAAUUUGAGGAACCAAAUGGAGAUUUCUUCACAGGAGACAAAGAACCUAACUGAGAAUUCCUAGUCUUGAUACCAAAAUCACCAGGUGAAGGUGGUGAAUCAGUAGGGUAAUUAAAAGUAGGAGGCAAUGUAGGGAUCUGAAUCUUCAAUUGUGAACCAAGAACAACCAUUCUGCUAACAGAAUUCAUCUCUUUAGAAUCAGAUUUUUCAUCAAUCAGAGCAUCAACAAGACCAAGACCAACCCCUUUUGAGUCA
rnacentral:lncRNA from 1 species